rnacentral:rRNA from 1 species
AGUGAACGCUGGCGGUAGGCCUAACACAUGCAAGUCGAACGGCAGCACAGUAAGAGCUUGCUCUUACGGGUGGCGAGUGGCGGACGGGUGAGGAAUACAUCGGAAUCUACUUUUUCGUGGGGGAUAACGUAGGGAAACUUACGCUAAUACCGCAUACGACCUACGGGUGAAAGCAGGGGAUCUUCGGACCUUGCGCGAUUGAAUGAGCCGAUGUCGGAUUAGCUAGUUGGCGGGGUAAAGGCCCACCCAGGCGACGAUCCGUAGCUGGUCUGAGAGGAUGAUCAGCCACACUGGAACUGAGACACGGUCCAGACUCCUACGGGAGGCAGCAGUGGGGAAUAUUGGACAAUGGGCGCAAGCCUGAUCCAGCCAUACCGCGUGGGUGAAGAAGGCCUUCGGGUUGUAAAGCCCUUUUGUUGGGAAAGAAAAGCAGCAGGUUAAUACCCCGCUGUUCUGACGGUACCCAAAGAAUAAGCACCGGCUAACUUCGU